UACGUAGGGUGCGAGCGUUGCCCGGAUUUCUUGGGCGUAAAGGGCGCGUAGGCGGCUCGGCACGUCCGUUGUGAAAUCGCCCGGCUCAACUGGGCGGGGUCAGCGGAUACGGUCGAGCUUGAGCAAGCUAGGGGGCAAUGGAAUUCCCGGUGUAGUGGUGGAAUGCGUAGAGAUGUGGAGGAACACCGAUGGCGAAGGCAGCCCCCUGGGCUAACACUGACGCUCAGGCACGAAAGCGUGGGGAGCAAACAGG
rnacentral:rRNA from 1 species